GACGAACGCUGGCGGCGUGCUUAACACAUGCAAGUCGAACGGAAAGGCCCUGCUUUUGUGGGGUGCUCGAGUGGCGAACGGGUGAGUAACACGUGAGUAACCUGCCCUUGACUUUGGGAUAACUUCAGGAAACUGGGGCUAAUACCGGAUAGGAGCUCCUGCUGCAUGGUGGGGGUUGGAAAGUUUCGGCGGUUGGGGAUGGACUCGCGGCUUAUCAGCUUGUUGGUGGGGUAGUGGCUUACCAAGGCUUUGACGGGUAGCCGGCCUGAGAGGGUGACCGGCCACAUUGGGACUGAGAUACGGCCCAGACUCCUACGGGAGGCAGCAGUGGGGAAUAUUGCACAAUGGGCGGAAGCCUGAUGCAGCAACGCCGCGUGCGGGAUGACGGCCUUCGGGUUGUAAACCGCUUUCGCCUGUGACGAAGCGUGAGUGACGGUAAUGGGUAAAGAAGCACCGGCUAACUACGUGCCAGCAGCCGCGGUGAUACGUAGGGUGCGAGCGUUGUCCGGAUUUAUUGGGCGUAAAGGGCUCGUAGGUGGUUGAUCGCGUCGGAAGUGUAAUCUUGGGGCUUAACCCUGAGCGUGCUUUCGAUACGGGUUGACUUGAGGAAGGUAGGGGAGAAUGGAAUUCCUGGUGGAGCGGUGGAAUGCGCAGAUAUCAGGAGGAACACCAGUGGCGAAGGCGGUUCUCUGGGCCUUUCCUGACGCUGAGGAGCGAAAGCGUGGGGAGCGAACAGGCUUAGAUACCCUGGUAGUCCACGCUGUAAACGGUGGGUACUAGGUGUGGGGUCCAUUCCACGGGUUCCGUGCCGUAGCUAACGCUUUAAGUACCCCGCCUGGGGAGUACGGCCGCAAGGCUAAAACUCAAAGGAAUUGACGGGGCCCCGCACAAGCGGCGGAGCAUGCGGAUUAAUUCGAUGCAACGCGUAGAACCUUACCUGGGUUUGACAUGGAUCGGGAGUACUCAGAGAUGGGUGUGCCUCUUUUGGGGUCGGUUCGCAGGUGGUGCAUGGCUGUCGUCAGCUCGUGUCGUGAGAUGUUGGGUUAAGUCCCGCAACGAGCGCAACCCUUGUUCACUGUUGCCAGCACGUUAUGGUGGGGACUCAGUGGAGACCGCCGGGGUCAACUCGGAGGAAGGUGGGGAUGACGUCAAGUCAUCAUGCCCCUUAUGUCCAGGGCUUCACGCAUGCUACGAUGGCUGGUACAGAGAGUGGCGAGCCUGUGAGGGUGAGCGAAUCUCGAAAAGCCGGUCUCAGUUCGGAUUGGGGUCUGCAACUCGACCUCAUGAAGUCGGAGUCGCUAGUAAUCGCAGAUCAGCAACGCUGCGGUGAAUACGUUCCCGGGGCU
rnacentral:rRNA from 1 species